rnacentral:rRNA from 1 species
UGGGGAAUAUUGCACAAUGGGGGAAACCCUGAUGCAGCGACGCCGCGUGAACGAAGAAGGUAUUCGUAUCGUAAAGUUCUGUCCUAUGGGAAGAUAAUGACAGUACCAUAGAAGAAAGCUCCGGCUAAAUACGUGCCAGCAGCCGCGGUAAUACGUAUGGAGCGAGCGUUGUCCGGAAUUAUUGGGCGUAAAGGGUACGCAGGCGGUUUAAUAAGUCGAAUGUUAAAGAUCGGGGCUCAACCCCGCAAAGCAUUGGAAACUGAUAAACUUGAGUAGUGGAGAGGAAAGUGGAAUUCCUAGUGUAGUGGUGAAAUACGUAGAUAUUAGGAGGAAUACCAGUAGCGAAGGCGUCUUUCUGGACACAAACUGACGCUGAGGUACGAAGGCGUGGGGAGCAAACAGG